AUUUCGGGAUCAAUAUGUUGGUCGUGCCAUUGGUACGUACUGGUAUCAUUGAUUUCUCCUUUCUGACGAACCAUGAUGUCAUUAAUUUGGUGUUAUGGGGAGUUAGGACUGUUACUUUGAAAAAACUAGAGUGUUUAAAGCAGGCAUUAGCUUGAAUACAUUAGCAUGGAAUAAUGAAAUAGGACGUUUGACCCUAUUUUGUUGGUUUCUAGGAUCGACGUAAUGAUUAAUAGGGAUAGUUGGGGGCAUUAGUAUUCAAUUGUCAGAGGUGAAAUUCUUGGAUUUAUUGAAGACUAACUACUGCGAAAGCAUUUGCCAAGGAUGUUUUCAUUAAUCAAGAACGAAAGUUAGGGGAUCGAAGACGAUCAGAUACCGUCGUAGUCUUAACCAUAAACUAUGCC
rnacentral:rRNA from 1 species